CUGUAAAGAGUCAUGUCUUUACACGAAAGAGGGAACCGGGUGAACUGAAACAUCUAAGUAAUCCGAGGAAAAGAAAGUAACAACGAUACCCUAAGUAGCGGCGAGCGAACGGGGUAGAGCCUAAACCAUAUUCAUGUCAAGGAUGCAGCCGUUGUGGAUAUGGGGUAGCGGGAAAGAGAAAGAAAGAACUGCAAGCUAUUUCGCAGACGUAAGCAAAGGAACAAGAAAGAUCUGGAAAGGUCUACCGUAGAAGGUGAAAGUCCUGUAUUGGUAGUUUUCUUGCGCUGUAUCUCUUCUCCCAAGUAAU
rnacentral:rRNA from 1 species